ACCGCCCUUGCCCGGCUGCAUCUCGAUGUUGUGGAUCGUGGACCCCACAGGGAUGUUGCGGAUGGGCAGGGUGUUGCCAGCGCGGAUCGGGGCCUCGGAACCGGACAUCAGUUCAGCGCCAGCCGAAACGCCACGCGGUGCCAGGAUGUAGCGACGCUCGCCGUCUGCGUACAGCAGCAGGGCCAGGUGGGCGCUACGGUUCGGAUCAUAUUCCAGGCGCUCGACGCGGGCGGGAAUACCGUCCUUGUUGCGGCGGAAGUCGACGAUCCGGUAAUGACGCUUGUGACCACCACCGCGAUGACGGGUGGUGAUGUGACCCAGGUUGUUGCGACCCGAACCGCGUUUCUUCGGCUCGAUCAGCGACGCAACCGGGGCGCCCUUGUGCAAGGUCGGGGUAACGACCUUGACCAUCGCCCGGCGGCCGGGCGACGUCGGUUUCAGUUUCACGACCGGCAUUUACUUGGUCUCCGCGAAAUUGAUCUCUUGGCCCGCUGCCAGACUGACAUACGCCUUGCGGAUGUUCCGCCGACGCCCCAUGCCGCGGCCGAAGCGCUUCUGCUUGCCCGCGAUGUUGACCACGUUGACCGCAUCGACCGUCACCUUGAACAGCGACUCGAUGGCAGCCUUGACUUCAGCCUUGGUGGCGUCCUGCAUCACCCGGAAGACGUACUGGUUCUGCUUUUCGCCCACCAGCGUGCUUUUCUCGGAGAUGACCGGAGCGAUCACCACUUGUGUCAGACGAUUCGGAUUCAUCCCAGCAUCUCCUGAAUCUGCGCCAGCGCCUGCUUGGUGACCAGGACGUUGUCGUAAUGGACCAGCGACAGCGGGUCGAUGUGGCGGGUUUCGAGCACCAGCACGUGCGGCAGGUUACGAGCUGCCAGGUACAGGUUCUCGUCUUCGUUGUCCACCACGAUGAGCGUGGACUUCAGACCCAUGCCGUUGAGCUUGCCGACCAGCAGUUUGGUCUUGGGCGCUUCCAGCUUCAGCGACUCGACCACCGACAGACGGUCUUCGCGGACCAGCUGCGACAGGAUGGAGCGCAUGCCGGCGCGGUACAUCUUCCGGUUGACCUUCUGCGAGAAGUUCUCAUCCGGCUUGUUCGGGAAGAUGCGACCGCCUCCGCGCCACAGCGGGCUGGAGGUCAUACCGGCGCGAGCACGGCCCGUGCCUUUCUGACGCCACGGCUUCUUCGUGGAGUGACGGACCUCGGUACGGUCCUUCUGGGCACGAUUGCCGCUGCGGGCGUUGGCCUGGUAGGCCACGACGAUCUGGUGAAUCAGCGGCUCAUUGAAGUCGGUGCCGAAAACGGUGUCAACCACCGAGACGGCGCCAGCCUUCUGACCCUGAUCGUUCAAGAUAUUCAGUUCCAUGUUCGAACGAUCCUCUCUCAAGCCUUGCCCUUGGCCUCGGCAGCCUCGGUCCGGACGGGCUUCAGGCGGCGCUUGACCGACGGGGUGACGAAGAAGGGUAGCUCAGCGGGGUUCUGGACGUCCCCGUGAGGCCACGUAGGCCGGGCGGCUGUGAAACGCGCCGCCCGCGAGGGCUGAGGUGGCUGACGAAGCGACUGGGUGAAGUGAGUGAGCCCAUGCUCCCGAGAAAAACCCCUAGGGAUGCCGCGCGGGGCCCGUACCGCAAACCGACACAGGUGGGUGGGUAGAACAUACCAAGGCGAUCGGGAGAACUAUGGUUAAGGAACUCGGCAAAACUGCCCCGCAACUUCGGGAGAAGGGGUGCCGCCGCCGGUGGAGGGGCUUGCCCCCCGAGCUGGUGGCGGCCACAGUGAAGAGGUCCAAGCGACUGUUUAUCAAAAACACAGGACUCUGCUGAAGUCGUAAGACGACGUAUAGGGUCUGACGCCUGCCCGGUGCCGGAAGGUCACGCGGAAGGGUCAGCGAAAGCGAAGCCCCGAAGCCAAGCCCCGGUAAACGGCGGCCGUAACUAUAACGGUCCUAAGGUAGCGAAAUUCCUUGUCGGGUAAGUUCCGACCUGCACGAAAGGCGUAACGAUUUGGACGCUGUCUCAACCAUAGACCCGGUGAAAUUGCACUAGUCGUGAAGAUGCGACUUACCCGCAGAAGGACGGAAAGACCCCGUGAACCUUUACUGCAGCUUGACAUUGGCUGCCGGUUCGUCGUGUAGAGGAUAGGUGGGAGACUUUGAACCAGGGACGCCAGUCUCUGGGGAGUCACCCUUGGAAUACCACCCUCGACGUUCUGGCAUCCUAACUUGCGACCGUUAUCCGGCGUGAGGACCGUGUCAGGUGGGUAGUUUGACUGGGGCGGUCGCCUCCUAAAAUGUAACGGAGGCGCACGUAAGGUCUGCUCAGGAUGGUCGGCAACCAUCCUUUUGAGUGCAAGAGCAUAAGCAGGCUUGACUGCGAGGCCUACAAGCCGAGCAGAUGGGAAACCAGGUUCUAGUGAUCCGGCGGCUCAGAGUGGUAUGGCCGUCGCUCAACGGACAAAAGGUACUCCGGGGAUAACAGGCUGAUCUUCCCCAAGAGUCCACAUCGACGGGAAGGUUUGGCACCUCGAUGUCGGCUCAUCGCAUCCUGGGGCUGGAGCAGGUCCCAAGG
rnacentral:rRNA from 1 species